rnacentral:lncRNA from 1 species
ACUUUUGUCACUAUUAAACAUAAUUUUAAACAUAUAAUAAUAUGAAUAUACAUGAGUUUGACAUAAUAGAUAGACAUACUUUCCUUCAAAAAAAAAAAUAGACAUACUUUUUUCAUUCAAAAAAUGAUAGACAUACUUUUAUCCCAUGAGCAUAGUUCAGUUGGUAGAACAAUGUAUUAUUAUAUGCAGGGGUCGGAGUUCGAAUCCCGGACACUCCACUUAUUCACUUUAUAAUGUAAAUUCUAAAUAAUAAGCUACCUGAACCAAAAAAAGAUAGACAUUAUUUUUAUUUUUUUGUCUAGAUAGAUAGACAUACUUUAAACACGUCUUAAAUAUAAAAGUGAAACAAUUUUUUUUAAAUUAUGAACAUAAACUUAUCAAGAACAAAAAAGUGAAACAAUUUUUUUUAAGAGAAUUGAAACAUUUUAUUUUUAUUUUUAAGGACUAAAAUCAAAUUCUAAAUACUUUUAAGGAAGAAAAAUAUGACAUACACAUUUGUUCGGCUACUAUUGAUUACACGCACUAUAUAUAGGGGGGUAUUGAAAUUUGAAACAUUCAUCCAAAAUAUCCCAUACAGACAAAAGAAACUGAACGAGGCUUUUACAUUUGAAAAUGAGACCUGCUCUUGCUGUGCUUACUCUCCUCUUCCUUUUCUUGGUUUGAAUUUCCUUUUACAGUUUUUUAUUUUUUGUACAUUUAAAAUUUAUACAUUUUUUAUUUUGGUGAAAAUAUUUAUAAUUAUUUAUGGAUAUAGUCUCAAUUAUAAGUAGAGUUUACUUUUUAUAUUCAUUUAAUAAUUAAUGUAUUUGGUCUCUGAGAAGUGAACUUUUGCUUAUAAUUGAGACUGAAUGGUGUACUUUACAAAUGUAAAACUUUUUUAGAUGUGUUUUCAAUCAAAUAAUACAAAAUAGAUAUUUGUAAAGAUAUUUUAUAAACUAAAUUCAAAGAAUGUUAUUUUAGUGUAAUUUGAUUGAAUGAAUGUGUAAAAAAGGUGUACACAUUCGAUGUAUGAAAAUUAUUCUCAUAUUUUUUAGUAAUAUUAUUGGUUAUUUAAAAUGAAAUAUAAAAAAGUAAAAUUUACAUUUCUUGAUCAAAUCCUUCUUUCAUGAAUAAUGUCAAACAAUAAUUUUGUAUAAUUCCAUAAAUAGUAAGUUAUUAUAGAAAGUCAUGAAUUUAAUGCAUUGAAAAUUAAAAUAUAUGAUUUUUUCAAUAAACAUUUUGUUUUUUUUGAACAAAUAAAUAAUUUUUCAAUAAUUUUUUUCAAUAAACAUUUUGUUAAUUAAGGAUCUUUAAAGAAUGUCUUUAGAAGACUUGUUAAGAGGACUCUAAUUUUAUUGGCAUUCUUUUGCUAAAAACAGAAACAUAAUUGAUGUUCCCUAGAAAAAACAUUAGUCUUUUUUGUCAAUAAAUCUAGAGUUUAGAAAUUACGAUGUACUACUAACCACCAUUUUCCUUUUUCUUGUCUUCUCAUUAUAAUCCGGAGAAGUUUGCUGCUACUAUAGAAUCAAGAAAUGAUCUAAAGGAAUAUUGGAAAACUAUUAUGAAAGAUGAAGAGAUGCCGGAAGGAAUUCAAGGGCUUCUUCAACUGAAAUCUGAAAUCGAACCUAUGAAGAACUCCAAGGCACAAGAACAACUUGCCAAAGGUAAGUGCGAUGAGCAUCCCGCAACAAACACACUAAAUAUCAUAAAAAAAAAGGUGGUCACAGAAGAAUUUCAACCAAGACCCACAAUUUCAGCUUAUGGUGAUGACAAGAUUGAUAUAAAGGUAACUGAGAAACAUAUAAAAGAUUUUGAGCCAAGGCCAAGUGGCACAAGGUAUGACGGUGAUGGUUAUAAAAGCGAGAAGCUACGAGUGUACUCUGAGUUUGAACCUAGGCCAAGUGCUACAAAGUAUGAUGGUGAUGGUGAAGGUUAUAAGACUAUUAAACUACCAGGGAAUGACGAAUUUGAACCCAUACCAAGUGUUACAAGGUAUGAUGGUGAUGGUUAUAAGAGUAUGAAACUAUCGGGGAAUGAUGAGUUUGAACCCAGACCAAGUGUUACAAGGUAUGACGGUGACGGUUAUCAGAGUACAAAACUAUCGGUGAAUAAUGAGUUUGAACCUAUACCAAGUGUUACAAAGUAUGGCGGUGAUGGUUAUAAGAAUACCAAAUUAUCGGUGAAUAGUGAGUUUGAACCCAUACCAAGUGUUACAAGUUAUGGCAGUGAUGGCUAUAAGAGUAUGAAACUACCGGUUAAUGACGAGUUUGAACCCAGACCAAGUGCUACAAAGUAUGAUGGUGAUGGUUAUCAGAGUACAAAACUAUCGGUGAACAGUGAGUUUGAACCCAUACCAAGUGUUACAAGUUAUGGCAGUGAUGGCUAUAAGAGUAUGAAACUACCGGUUAACGACGAGUUUGAACCCAGACCAAGUGCUACAAGGUAUGACAGUGAUGAUUAUAGAAAAAUGAAACUACCGAUGAACGACGAAUUUGAACCUAGACCAAGCGUUAAAAAGUAUGAUGGUGAUAAUAACAAAAGCAAGAAGCUACAUGUGAACGACGAGUUUGAACCUAGGCCAAGUGCCACAAAGUAUAAUGACUAAAUAAAAUUAAGAAUGUAGCUGCCUUUAAAGGAUAUAAUGUGCUAUAAGUGUGUCCAAUAAUAACUCUGGUGUGAUGUAUUAUGGUCUUUGAAUAAAUAAUGUAAAAUAUUCGGUGAUU